rnacentral:rRNA from 1 species
GACGAACGCUGGCGGCGUGCUUAACACAUGCAGGUCGAACGGAAAGGCCCUGCUUUUGUGGGGUGCUCGAGUGGCGAACGGGUGAGUAACACGUGAGUAACCUGCCCUUGACUUUGGGAUAACUUCAGGAAACUGGGGCUAAUACCGGAUAGGAGCUCCUGCUGCAUGGUGGGGGUUGGAAAGUUUUGGCGGUUGGGGAUGGACUCGCGGCUUAUCAGCUUGUUGGUGGGGUAGUGGCUUACCAAGGCUUUGACGGGUAGCCGGCCUGAGAGGGUGACCGGCCACAUUGGGACUGAGAUACGGCCCAGACUCCUACGGGAGGCAGCAGUGGGGAAUAUUGCACAAUGGGCGGAAGCCUGAUGCAGCAACGCCGCGUGCGGGAUGACGGCCUUCGGGUUGUAAACCGCUUUCGCCUGUGACGAAGCGUGAGUGACGGUAAUGGGUAAAGAAGCACCGGCUAACUACGUG